rnacentral:rRNA from 1 species
AACACAUGCAAGUCGAACGAGACCUUCGGGUCUAGUGGCGCACGGGUGCGUAACGCGUGGGAAUCUACCCCUUGGUUCGGAAUACUCAGAGAAAUUUGAGCUAAUACCGGAUGAUGACGUAAGUCCAAAGAUUUAUCGCCAAGGGAUGAGCCCGCGUAGGAUUAGCUAGUUGGUGAGGUAAAGGCUCACCAAGGCGACGAUCCUUAGCUGGUCUGAGAGGAUGAUCAGCCACACUGGGACUGAGACACGGCCCAGACUCCUACGGGAGGCAGCAGUGGGGAAUAUUGGACAAUGGGCGAAAGCCUGAUCCAGCAAUGCCGCGUGAGUGAUGAAGGCCUUAGGGUUGUAAAGCUCUUUUACCCGGGAUGAUAAUGACAGUACCGGGAGAAUAAGCUCCGGCU